rnacentral:rRNA from 1 species
AAGUCGAACGAAGUAGCAAUACUUAGUGGCAGACGGGUGAGUAACAUGUAGGUAUCUGCCCUUUGGCCUGGAAUAACACGAGGAAACUUGUGCUAAUACCGGAUAAGUCUUUACGGAGAAAGCUUUAUGCACCAUUGGAUGAGCCUGCACUUGAUUAGUUUGUUGGUGGGGUAAUGGCCUACCAAGACUGUGAUCAAUAGUUGAUUUGAGAGGAUGAUCAGCCACAUUGGGACUGAGACACGGCCCAAACUCCUACGGGAGGCAGCAGUGGGGAAUCUUGCACAAUGGAGGAAACUCUGAUGCAGCGAUGCCGCGUGAGUGAAGAAGGCCUUUGGGUUGUAAAGCUCUUUCGUCGGGGAAGAAAAUGACUGUACCCGAAUAAGAAGGUCCGGCUAACUUCGUGCCAGCAGCCGCGGUAAUACGAAGGGACCUAGCGUAGUUCGGAAUUACUGGGCUUAAAGAGUUCGUAGGUUGUUGAAAAAGUUGGUGGUGAAAUCCCAGAGCUUAACUCUGGAACUGCCAUCAAAACUUUUCAGCUAGAGUAUGAUAGAGGAAAGCAGAAUUUCUAGUGUAG